UACGUAGGGUGCAAGCGUUAAUCGGAAUUACUGGGCGUAAAGCGUGCGCAGGCGGUGAUGUAAGACAGUUGUGAAAUCCCCGGGCUCAACCUGGGAACUGCAUCUGUGACUGCAUCGCUGGAGUACGGUAGGAGGGGAUGGAAUUCCGCGUGUAGCAGUGAAAUGCGUAGAUAUGCGGAGGAACACCGAUGGCGAAGGCAAUCCCCUGGACCUGUACUGACGCUCAUGCACGAAAGCGUGGGGAGCAAACAGG
rnacentral:rRNA from 1 species